AACUGAUACUACCUGCGGGAACCUGCGGAAGGAUCAUUACCGAGUUAUCCAACUCCCAACCCCUGUGAAUUAUACCUUUAAUUGUUGCUUCGGCGGGACUUCGCGCCCGCCGGGGACCCAAACCUUCUGAAUUUUUAAUAAGUAUCUUCUGAGUGGUUAAAAAAAUGAAUCAAAACUUUUAGCAACGGAUCUCU
rnacentral:misc_RNA from 1 species